rnacentral:lncRNA from 1 species
AUUUUAAGGGCUGCAGAGCAGGAGAAAAUCAACAGAUGGAACUUUCUCCAGUCCUCCAUUCCUAGGCCAGGAGAAGCUGCUUGUACUCAUUUGGUUCAUUUGGCUUCGCCUGUUGAAUCGUUCCAGGCAACUGGUAAAAGCACAGAUCCUUUCAGGAGCUCCCUGACACAUCCCGGUCUAGGAUGCUACCCAACUACAGUGAGUGCUUGCUGUUGUUGUGACUGCUCUGCUUCCCAAGAAAGACACCACAGGAUUUGCCAAAGCCUCCACAAGGAGGACUGCAACACUUCUGAAAGCCAGGAGCUGUCAAUUGCUCUGGGAACGGUCUUCCUCCUUGACUCUGUGCGCACCAUAACUCCCCUAUUCAUUCGUAGGGCUGACCCCAUACAACGCGGUCUCUCCAGAAGCCCCGCCUGCCUCUUUUGCCAGGCCCCAUCAGGGAUUACCGACCAGCUUCCAUGAUGGCGUGAUAGUGGGCAACGGAAUCCCAAAAGCAGCUGUUUUUCUCUGAACACUCCAGCUGCCCUUGGGUUUCGUUCCUUGCUCUCCUGCCCUGCUCGCCUGGAUUUUGCUUCCUCUCUUCUCUGCCUUUGGACCAGCUUGGGGCACAGGAAGGAGGUAGGAACAGAGGCGAUGGAAAGGAAUGAGGAUUUUUUGCACAAAGAUGGGCCACCUUGGGUACUUUCAAGGAGAAAGGUGGGUCAAAAUGUUUUAAAGGAAGAACGAAAGAAGAUGAUCCUCUUGACAGUAAGGAGUGCUAGAAAGCAACUCUAUAAUAGUAAUCAAGAUCCUCUCCAUAUGGCACAACAUUCAGCACUGGAUAGCUGAGUUUCUGCCUGUGUUGUGAAAUUCGACGCUUUGGGGACUGUGUAUGAUGCUUGCCACUGUCUGGAUUCUCAAUCCAGGUAACUUCUGAGGCUGAGGUAAAACAUAAUUGCUAGGGAGCAAAUAUAAUCCAAGAAUAUCAUCAGUUGUUUAGAAAUCAUCAUAUAUCUCUCCUUUAAUAUAAUGGCUAGAAACCUAUCAGUUAGUUACCAGCAGGAUUCUGGCCAAUAGAGCACAUGCUAGGGCAUAGAUCGUAGUGAUGAAUUGCUACUAGUUAAAAAGCUACCACUUCUAUCCCUUAUCGCACAGCAGUCACAUGGGUUGGUGCACAAGAAAGGGUACAAGGGCAAUUCAUUAACUAGCAGCAAUUUGCUGCUGUGAUAGAUGCCAUCACACAUAUGUUAGCAUAGCCAGCCCGUAAGGAUCUGACCUGCGACUCAUUUCAUGGCGAGUGGGUCUGCCAGUGGCUCUUCCAUCAGAAUCUAGCCUUUAUAUUUAGGAGCAGAAAACCUCUGUUUGCCAGAAGAACAAUGGAUGAUGGAGAGCCCCAUUUUACUCGGACUGGUAAGUUUCCAAUGGAUAUCUGAUUGGUCUGUUUGGGGUACAGAAUGCUAUAGCUUGUAGUACUUUGGCCUGCUUUAGGAAGACAAUUUCUAUGUUGGUGACAUGUCCAUGAAACAGGCCUGGAGAACUGGCCUCUAGAGGUGAGACAAAAACUCCUGUCAUCCCCAAGGAUGGCUCCACCCUGAUGGCUGGGUCUGAUAGGAGGUAAGAGUUUAACAACAUCUGGAGGGCUGCAUUACCCUCCCCCCAUCUAUCAUAAAGGGGGUUCUUGGUCUUCUCAAUGCAGAGGAGAAUAUGUUUUGAAUGUGGAUGGAGGCAGGUUUAGGUCGUAAGGGAAGUGCUUCAGUGAGCAGAUUUAGGUGGGAUUACAAGACCGCUUUGUGGGGAGAGGAUCACAUCGAGGGGAACAUCUCAGGGCCAGGUUUCUUCGUAGUCCUUCUGUCUUCUAAAGAUAACGAGACUGAUUUCCUGGAGAGAAACCACCAGAGCUGGGUUUGCUGAUGCUGCGGUCGAUGAGAGUGGCCAGCCACAGAGUGGAUUAAGGCCGUUUCCAUGCAAGGUCAGGAAGAGGUCAGUCACGCAAAGCACACGGGAGAGCUUCCUGCUUUUCUGAGCACAGCAGAAGCAGAGCUAGGAGUCCCAAGAUGGCGUCGAGAAGCUUCCAUGCAGGCCUCAGAUAUCAUGGGCAUCAGACUCUAAAAUCUCUGGAAGACCAAAGGAGAAAAGUGACCCUUUUUGUAUCACCACUCCCAGGCUCUGAGGGAUUAUGGGAGUUGUAGUCCAAAAUGACCUUUUUUGAUCUAUGGGCCAAGCAACGUGAAUUCAGAAUGUUGCGAGCUUUCCUUUUGUGUUACCUCUGCCUCAGGGCUGUGUUGGAGAUAAUUAAUGGUGCUACACCUUAUAGGCGUCCGUAGCAAAAUAACUGGUUCUGCUAAGAAGGCCAGUGAGAAAAUCCAAAUGUGGGAACAAAAGCGCCAGGCCUGACCUAUUAGAUUUAUCAGAAGCCUCAGAAGCAAUGGUAGUCAGGAUUGUUUUAUUGUAAAUUAUUCCCCCGUAGUAUUUGUGCCGUCCUGAGGCAUCCAAAAGUUGUGUCUGCCCUGUAGGAUAAUAUCUGUAUUAAAAGUGAACUCGGCAGGUGAGAAGUAACAGAAACAUAGUCAAAAUGGGGCCAUUGAGAAACAAGACGUUGGUACCCUCACCUAGGGAAAAACAGAGGUUAAAACUCUGGAAGAAAUAAGUCAAUAAAAAGGGAGGCAACACCCGCUUCA